rnacentral:rRNA from 1 species
AAAAACAUAUUUAAUAGAAUUUAUUAUUAAUACAACCUGCUCAAUGAUUUUAAAUAGCUGCAAUUCAUAUUGUACAAAGGUAGCAUAAUCAUUUGUCUUUUAAUUAAAGACUAGAAUGAAAGGUUAAAUAUUUAAAUUAUUAUUUUAAAUUUUCAAUUUAAAUUUAUUUUUAAUGUAAAAAAACAUUAAUCUCUUAAAAAGACGACAAGACCCUUUCGAACUUUACUGUAGUUUAACUGGGGUAGUUAAUUAAUAAUCAUUUUAAUCUUUUAUUUUAUAAAAAUAACCCAAUCUAAUUGAAAUGAUCAAGUUACCGAAGGGAUAACAGCGUAAUUAUUUUCUUCAGUUCUUAUGUAAAAAAUAGUUUACGACCUCGAUGUUGAAUUAAUUCUUCUAAUUGAUGUAUCAAUCUUUAAAGAAAGUCUGUUCGACUUUUAAUUUAUUACAUGAUCU